UUAUAACCGGCGAUUUCCGAAUGGGGAAACCCAGUGUGUUUCGACACACUAUCAUUAACUGAAUCCAUAGGUUAAUGAGGCGAACCGGGGGAACUGAAACAUCUAAGUACCCCGAGGAAAAGAAAUCAACCGAGAUUCCCCCAGUAGCGGCGAGCGAACGGGGAGCAGCCCAGAGCCUGAAUCAGUGUGUGUGUUAGUGGAAGCGUCUGGAAAGGCGCGCGAUACAGGGUGACAGCCCCGUACACAAAAAUGCACAUGCUGUGAGCUCGAUGAGUAGGGCGGGACACGUGGUAUCCUGUCUGAAUAUGGGGGGACCAUCCUCCAAGGCUAAAUACUCCUGACUGACCGAUAGUGAACCAGUACCGUGAGGGAAAGGCGAAAAGAACCCCGGCGAGGGGAGUGAAAAAGAACCUGAAACCGUGUACGUACAAGCAGUGGGAGCACAGAGCAAUCUGUGUGACUGCGUACCUUUUGUAUAAUGGGUCAGCGACUUAUAUUCUGUAGCAAGGUUAACCGAAUAGGGGAGCCGAAGGGAAACCGAGUCUUAACUGGGCGUUAAGUUGCAGGGUAUAGACCCGAAACCCGGUGAUCUAGCCAUGGGCAGGUUGAAGGUUGGGUAACACUAACUGGAGGACCGAACCGACUAAUGUUGAAAAAUUAGCGGAUGACUUGUGGCUGGGGGUGAAAGGCCAAUCAAACCGGGAGAUAGCUGGUUCUCCCCGAAAGCUAUUUAGGUAGCGCCUCGUGAAUUCAUCUCCGGGGGUAGAGCACUGUUUCGGCAAGGGGGUCAUCCCGACUUACCAACCCGAUGCAAACUGCGAAUACCGGAGAAUGUUAUCACGGGAGACACACGGCGGGUGCUAACGUCCGUCGUGAAGAGGGAAACAACCCAGACCGCCAGCUAAGGUCCCAAAGUCAUGGUUAAGUGGGAAACGAUGUGGGAAGGCCCAGACAGCCAGGAUGUUGGCUUAGAAGCAGCCAUCAUUUAAAGAAAGCGUAAUAGCUCACUGGUCGAGUCGGCCUGCGCGGAAGAUGUAACGGGGCUAAACCAUGCACCGAAGCUGCGGCAGCGACGCUUAUGCGUUGUUGGGUAGGGGAGCGUUCUGUAAGCCUGUGAAGGUGUGCUGUGAGGCAUGCUGGAGGUAUCAGAAGUGCGAAUGCUGACAUAAGUAACGAUAAAGCGGGUGAAAAGCCCGCUCGCCGGAAGACCAAGGGUUCCUGUCCAACGUUAAUCGGGGCAGGGUGAGUCGACCCCUAAGGCGAGGCCGAAAGGCGUAGUCGAUGGGAAACAGGUUAAUAUUCCUGUACUUGGUGUUACUGCGAAGGGGGGACGGAGAAGGCUAUGUUGGCCGGGCGACGGUUGUCCCGGUUUAAGCGUGUAGGCUGGUUUUCCAGGCAAAUCCGGAAAAUCAAGGCUGAGGCGUGAUGACGAGGCACUACGGUGCUGAAGCAACAAAUGCCCUGCUUCCAGGAAAAGCCUCUAAGCAUCAGGUAACAUCAAAUCGUACCCCAAACCGACACAGGUGGUCAGGUAGAGAAUACCAAGGCGCUUGAGAGAACUCGGGUGAAGGAACUAGGCAAAAUGGUGCCGUAACUUCGGGAGAAGGCACGCUGAUAUGUAGGUGAAGUCCCUCGCGGAUGGAGCUGAAAUCAGUCGAAGAUACCAGCUGGCUGCAACUGUUUAUUAAAAACACAGCACUGUGCAAACACGAAAGUGGACGUAUACGGUGUGACGCCUGCCCGGUGCCGGAAGGUUAAUUGAUGGGGUUAGCGGUAACGCGAAGCUCUUGAUCGAAGCCCCGGUAAACGGCGGCCGUAACUAUAACGGUCCUAAGGUAGCGAAAUUCCUUGUCGGGUAAGUUCCGACCUGCACGAAUGGCGUAAUGAUGGCCAGGCUGUCUCCACCCGAGACUCAGUGAAAUUGAACUCGCUGUGAAGAUGCAGUGUACCCGCGGCAAGACGGAAAGACCCCGUGAACCUUUACUAUAGCUUGACACUGAACAUUGAGCCUUGAUG
rnacentral:rRNA from 1 species